ensembl:lncRNA
GACAGCAGCAUGACAAAGCAUCAGGUUAAAUAUAGUAUUUGAGAGAGAAACAUCUCAUAGUGACAAGAGUAAGCAAUCCAUGCCAGCAAAAUGCAGUCGUUAAACUGUGUGUGCGCAUCGCCAGGGACAGGACGCAGCAUCUCCAGUCUCUCCCAGAGCCUCUCAGCAGGCAGCACAAGGAAAAGGCUCCCUCUCUGAGCAAGUGCACGGUUUCUGUGUUCCGUGGCAAGGUGAGCCCCGAGAUCCCUCCAGCAGAGGGGAGUGCAGCCUGUGCAGCAGGAGAAGGGGAGAGCUUGGCAUCUGCACCAUGUCUGGAACAAGAUUCCAUCUUGAACAAGUAUCGGUGAAAAACACCACGUUCCUUCUCGAGUCUCUUGGAAAAGCAGGCUGAGGUCAGCAGGCUUUCAGAGAGGGAAAUUUGGAAAGAAGCUGCUGCUAGAUGAGAUUAUUGCUAAAGGUACACAAGUUCUCACCUUUUGAAAGCCCUCCCCUAAACGUGGCUUCUCAUGGGGACCAGCUAUGAGACACAUGGAAUCACAGAAUCAUUAAGAUUGGAAAAGACCUUUAAGAUCAUCUAGUCCAACCAUCAAUCCAUCACCACCCUGCCCACUAACCCACGUCAAACCUUACCUUGGGACGAAGAACAGUAUGCUGAGCAUAUCCUGCCAGAGUCCUCCUUCAACCUUGCUUUUGAAGCAGCUGGUGCUGGAUGCUGACAAGAGGCAUACCAAGAUACAACAACCGCUUUGUGGUUCAUUUGUGAGCCUGUCAGCCAGCAACAUCCUUCUUCCAAUUUCCUCUCUCAGCAGCCAUAUAAUUCAUCUGGUCUGUGUGCACACUCUUGGCUCGUCUGCCAUCAACCAGCAGAGCAGGGACAGUUUGGAGGACAUCUGCUCUGAACACAUUGGCCUGAUGCUGAAUGAUGGAACUAGUUUGUACUGACGAGGACUGACUCUUAAAUCUUCCCAGGUUGAAGACUAGCAGAAAUACAAGAGGCAAAAUUGUCCAUGUCAAGCAAAGGGAUAAAAUAACUAAGUGUUUUUACUCCUUUGCACCAAAUUGGCAGCGAGUAAAUACUCACCAGGUUUUCUCUACAAGCGAAGCACUUCAUAAAGCAGAUCAAAGCCCUUCCUGAAUCUCAACAAUAGUACGGCUCAUUUCUGAGUAACACAUCCCAUGGAGAGGUCUCCUUGCAGGCACAGCACCAGCCAAAACAGGAUUAGCAAGUGGUGGAAAUAAGCAGAAAUUUUCACACUUCUGAAAGCAAUAGCUGCUAGAGUAACUCACAACGUGCAAAGUGUCUUCACUCAGAAGAUUCCUAAGCUCAGAAAAAAAAAGGCUUGCAGUGGAAUCCCACACUGCCAAAAUGCCACCGCUUUUAAGGACAGCCUUUGAACCUGUUAAAUCGCAUUUCACAUUCUUGUUCCAACUCAUUCAGGGGCGCAUGGAAAGAAAGCUGACUGCAAGAUGCCUUGAGCUUGGUCUCCUGAGAUUAUAUAGAACGAAAUAGACUUUAUUGACUCAAAUACACUGCAAAUAUCUCACUGCCGUCUGUCCUUGUACACUAUUGUCAUUAUCCUUUUCAGGAACUACAGUGGAGACUCCAACCAAAAGGAGGGUCCCAACAGGUCUGUUUGUGUGGUACCAUAUGACACAGCUCUGAACAGCUUGAAUCUCAAUAGCAGAAAGGAAAAUGCACAGGGAGAAAAGCUCUUUUUUCAUUGGUAUACAGACCAGACAGAAUCAUUAUAGAUCUGCCUGCAUUUUGCAUCAUCACAUGCUGUGAUGAUUCUAGGGGAGAUAUCAAACAAACACCUCUUUCUCACAAUAUUUGCCUGCUAUCUUAGCCACAGUGAUGGCCAUGGUGGCUAUUACCAUGUUAAAUAACCUUUGAUAGAUCAACCGUUUAUGAGAUUUCUAAUUUAAUGAUUGAUUGAUUGACUGAUUUAUUGAAGCAUCUUCUGAAAGGGAGCUCUGCAGCUUCAUUAUGCAAUGCAUGAGAAAGGAUCUUUCCUUCGGAAUGUUGUGAUAUAUAUUUUUUUUAAUAUUUGAAAAUUUUUGAGUCAUAAGAAGUGUUUGUUAAUGUACAGGAGUAUUUGUUAAUGUACAGGAGUUAAAAGAAGAGGCUCAGGAGAGACCUUAUCACUCUCUAUCUAUAACUCCCUGAAAGGAGGUUGUGAUGAGGUGGGGGUCGGCCUCUUCUCCCAGCUAACAGUGAUAGGAUGAGAGGGAAUGGCCUCAAGUUGUGCCAGGCGAGGUUCAGGUUGGAUAUUAUCAAAAAUUUCUUCCUAGAAAGAGCAGUGAGGCACUGGCACAGGCUGCCCAGGGAGGUGGUGGAGUCUCCGGAGGUGUUCAAGAAAAGGGUAGAUGUGGCUCUGAGGGACCUCUGUGGGACUGAGGGUUAGUGGGGAAUAUUGGUGCUAGGUAGAUGGUUGCGCAUGAUGAUCUUAGAGAUCUUUCCCAAUCUUAAUGACUCUAUGAAUUAUUCCAGUACUUUUAACUGUUUUAUUCCCAGUCAUAUCUGAACACUACUUAGAAGAGCAUUUGCCCAAACUUAUGCUCCCAGAUCACAGUAAUUUAGAGACCAACAGCAUACAUGCAGACUGAAUUACGCUCUUCCCCCCACCCCCCCAAGCACAGACAUUAUUUUGCACUUAAAUAGUGGAAUUUAUGUGCAGGACUCCUCUGCAGCUCUUGAAUCAGUUUGGUCUGUCCAGAAUAGGUCUGUAUCAGCAGCAGCAAUUUUGGCCACCUUCUCCAUCAUUUUCAAAGACAUGCAGUAGCUUCCAUAGUCAACAUCUCCCCAUGGCAAAAGUAAGCAAUCUUCUACCUUUCAAAACAUUUAUUGUAAUACAAAGGGCUUUUAUUCUAGCUUCAUCACAACUCUACUUCUUAUCCUCAUGCCCCCACUUAUUCUGUUCAUUAUUUUGAUUUCUGGCAACGUGCCCAUUAGAUCUCAUCCUCUGCUACACCCAGCAAGUUUGCAGAACAUUUCUGAGCCAAACUGAAGACUCUGGAAUCUUAAGAGUUCACCAGCCCAGGUGUAACUCCAUCUAAUUUUUCUCCCUCUUUAUCAGAGAUGCAGUUUGAACAAACAGCCAAACACGGUGAUUUUUUCAGAACAUUGUUCAAAUUACUGAUGUCUUUAUUCCAAUUCCUUCUUAGAUAGGAAGGAAUUAUCUGAUUAGUUUCAUUAAAAUCUGAUUAGUUUCAUCAACAAAAGCUUCUGUCCUUUAGCAUCUGUCCUUGCUCACAUCCACAGAUGUGGGAAAAUGCAAAAAAAAAAAGAAAAAAGAAAAAAGAAAAAGAAAAAAGAAAAAUCCCAAUAAUUCAAAGCUCUUAAUUAAGGGAAGAAAAAAGCAUACAGUAAAAGUUAAAAAGGGAAGAGCAAAAGAAAUGGCUGAACUGGGAAACAUAUGUUCAUUCUGAGGAGACGCUCAGGCUGAUGCCAACAGCACACCAACUGCUCCCAUGCUUGUCGCAGCACCAUUUGACUCAGUUCCAGGCAGAUAGGAAGCUUUAGCAGGAUCACAGUGCAGUUCAGCUCUGCAAAUGGAGUUGAAAUUAUUGAGAAUCUGUCAUUGCUUCCAGAUAAACUUGAAGAACAGAUAUAAAAUCUCUUGGAUGUUUUAAAACCAGAAUCCUUACACUUCUGGCAACCUUAAGAGUUUAGGCCACUAAGAAUAGCUAUAUGAGUUUGAAAUUAUAAGUUUAAUCCAGAAAACCUAUGUAUACUUAAAGCUAAGGCUAGAAUUUAGCUAAAAGCAUGACUCCGUUGCAAAAACUGUAGGGUUUUAUACGUAUAUCUUUGAUUAUCUUGCUAAACCUAUCUCUGAAGAGAUCACAUCUUCUCAUCUGAACUGGCAAGGAUAAUGCUGUGGAAAAAAAACACUAUCUAUGCGGUUGCUCAGCUUUCCAGUAGGACAAACUAAUGGUCACAAACAUGCUGGACACCACUUGUGUUUAUUUGGUACCUCUAAAACAAUCUGCCUAAGUGGCACUGAAUAAGGAGGUCUCCUUAGGAGGUGACUGAUAGCUGUCAGAAAUGUGCUGUGCUUUGCAUAUGUGGUCAAACUCAUCACCAAAGCCCCCAGUUGACUAGAAUCACCACAGGUACCUUCCCAGCAGCACAGCCAGGUGACAACCAGGACCAACGCUGCAUGCUACGCAGCAGGGCAGCCAACAACUCCAGCUGACAGAGCACCAAGAAUUAAAAGGCGCCCACUGAAACCUUCAAAAAGAUGGCCUUGUAAUGACUGAAGUUAUCUAAAAGCCAGCUGCUCCAGCUUUUCUAGCAGGCCUUAAUAUGUCACUACACUCAAUAAACCAUAAAAACUAAUUCUUUCAACUUUCAUUCUUUGGCAUCCAUCCAUGCAUCCUCAGCUGCUUGUGCUAUUUUAUCUCAACUAAGGAGGCUGUGGCACAGCAGAACUGUUAACCGAGGAUAAUUGUGGGUAGUGGACAGGCAGGAAGGCAAAUAUAAAAACUGCAAUGGCUUUGGCAACACAGGGCAGGGAUAUGAGCAAUGGUGCUGGCUCAGCCAGCCAGGUUUUCCAGGCUACAAGUGAUCACAGGAUUUCACAGGUUGUAAGGGACCUACAGCAAUCACUGAGCCCAACCCACGGCUCCAGACAGUACAACCUCAAAUCAAACCCUAUGUUUGAGAGCAAUGUCCAAACACCUCUUGAGCUCCAGCAGCUUGGGGCCAUGCCCACUGCCCCAGAGAGCCUGUUUCAUCCUUUGCUGGAGGAGCAGACCAAAGAAAGCACCUGCUUUCUGGCUGUUAUUUUCUCUUGGCUCUCCUCAUAUAGCUGGCUUGCCAGAUUUUACCCUUUUUCCCCUCUGCUCCUCAGUUCUGGCAACACCAUCCCCACAACGCUUCUCGCUGUUUAUCUUCCUUUUUCACCUCUCACCUGACUCUCCCACCCUAGCAGCUGUACCACCCAUGUCCUUGCCAUCUUUUUUUCUCAACAGAAACAUCAAAACCACAAGAAGUUAAUGUGUCACAGGCCUGCAGAAUUGCCGGCUGUAUUUCACUGUGUCCUUUCCUUCCUGCUGCGGGAUUCCCAGUUCCAAUAUAAUUCAGUAUGAACUGCACAGCAGUGGGCAGAAUUAGUCAGAGUGCACAAGCACCUGUCUUAGCACUGCAUGUCAGACUUCAUGAGUGCUAUCUGGAAGCAGCCACACGCCUGACCGCUCUGCAACAGCCGACCCCGGCACCCCAGUAACAGCUGCCUAAUACAGCAUUUAGUGUUAAAUGGCGUCAAAGAGCAACAAUUUGAAUAAGGCCUACUGCGAGCCACAGGGGCUAUGCAAUCUUCAGCAACUCCAAGUGGACUUUGAUCAGACGCUUUACGGUGUUACAACCCUCCACAAGAGAAGUGAAAAAAAAACUCUGGGGACAGGCAAAAAUCCUGCUCUGAGACCAGUAAUAAUCACAGAAACACAGAAUAGUUGAGACUAUUCUCAACUAAAGCCCAGGCUGUCCCACUUAACGGUCAGAAAAGGCACAGGGGAUUUUUAAUUUCCAUCUUUCCAAGCUGUUAUUUCAGUGAAUAACCUGGCUAAGAAGGUGCACCAGCUUUUUUGUGCUGUUAUGCAGACCUCAGCAGGGCUCAAAGAUCCAUCAUUGAAUUGCCUAAACUUAGCAGUAAGACCACUCAUAAUGUCAGCAAGCCUGGGAAAAGGAAGAGCCACUUCUACACUUUUAUGCUUUCUUGGAAACGUCUGCCUUCCCCACACAUCAUCUCCUGGGGAUGAUGCCAGGAUGAGAAUAGGCAUCCCUGUGCAAGGCUGGAGUCAUGGUCUGGGGCUGUACCACACUGUUUCCCAUGCCACUCAUUUGAACUCAUGCUUGAUGUAAUAUUUUUCAUGUGUUUGUAAGCCUGUCACCACCAGCUCAUUCCAGCCACAGCUUAUACACAUCUCCUUGGAGAGAAUGAGGACUUCCAUGCUAUUUUGCCAAUGUUAACCAAUUUUCCCUGCCAUGGGAGGAAGGGAAGGGAAAACAGUGCCUCAGGCUGCCCUCUGCACUCUCCCUCCCAAAAUACAGCAUCUGAAGUCCCCCUCGGGCGGAGGCUCAGCAUGGAAAGUUUUAGCUCUGUAGGUGAUUGUCUCAGAAAUUUACAGGGAAAUGAAAACAAAAGGCAUUGACUGGAAAGUGGUUUAUGACCUCAGUGCCAGUAAAUACUGCUGAAGCCCAGAGCAGGGAUCACUUGUCACAGGUUGAAAGCAAUCUUUCUUACACCACUCACAAAGAUUAAUCAAAGACCUAGGAAAAGUCUGAUUUAUAGAUUAUGUAUUCCUAACAAGCAUGUUUUUAUUAUUAUACAUCAGAAAACUUCCAUUCAGAUGACACAUAGCAAAACUAGAGGUGUCAGAUAUUUAUUUUUGCAGUCACUAGUUGUAAUGUUAUUAAACUAUUCAAAGACUGCCUUCAAGAAUAGGAAAAAAAUCCAAAUUGGUUAAAACGAAUGAAUUCAUUUAUUCAUCCGGAGUAUUGCUCCAGGCCCCAGCAAAAGAAAGACAUGGAAGCUGUUGGAGCAGGUCCAGAGAAGGACCAUGAAGAUGCUCAGAGGGCUGGAGCAUCUCUGCUAUCUAGAAAGGUUGAAGGAGUUGGGUGUCUUCAGCCUGGAGAAGAGAAAGCUCUGGAGAGACCUCACUGGGGCUUUCCUGUACUUAAGAGGAGCUUACAAGCAAGAGGGGGAGUGAGUUUUUACAUGGGCAGAUAGUGACAGGACAAGGGGGAUGAUUUUGAACUAAAAGAGGGGAGCUUUAAAUUAGAUGCCAGGGGGAAAUUUUUCACUCAUGAAGUAGUGAGACACUGGCACUGCUGCCCAGAGAAGCUGUGGAUGCUUCAUCCCUGAAGAUGCUCAAGGUCAAACUAGCAGAAAAAACACAGUGCACAAGAUUAGGGUGUCUGUCACUGGGGUACAUCUGGAGACAGCUCAUUCCAAUGAUAGAAAUACCUGUCUCUGUGCCUCUGCCCUGGGCCCACCUCAAGCAAUAGAUUUUAGUUCCAUAAAUGAAUAUAUAUCGAAUUUGUGGUCUUGAAAAUAUAAAGAAUUACAUCAAAACUGAGGUAGGAAAGGGGUUGUGUUCCAGCUUGGGUGAGGUUGCUCCAGGCUGCAUCCAUAUAGGAUUUGAGUCAGUCCAAGGAUGGAGAUACUACAAUCACUACAUUUCUCUGUUCCCAUUGAGGAAUCACACCUAAGGGGAAAAAGGACUUCCUAGCAUAAUUUCUUACUUCCCUCUGACUGACUGCAGCAUCCUCUUUUUUAUGCCUUGAGGAAAG